AGCUUUGCGCAGUGGCAGUAUCGUAGCCAAUGAGGUUUAUCCGAGGCGCGAUUAUUGCUAAUUGAAAAAUAAAAAAAAUCUGGGGCGCUUGGGUGGCUCAGUUGGUUAAGCAUCUGAUUUCAGCUCAAGUCAUGACCUCAUG
ensembl:snRNA U4 U4 spliceosomal RNA